rnacentral:rRNA from 1 species
UACGUAGGGGGGCUAGCGUUGUCCGGAAUCAUUGGGCGUAAAGCGCGUGUAGGCGGUUCGGUAAGUCCGCUGUGAAAGUCGGGGGCUCAACCCUCGGAUGCCGGUGGAUACUGUCGGGCUUGAGUACGGAAGAGGCGAGUGGAAUUCCUGGUGUAGCGGUGAAAUGCGCAGAUAUCAGGAGGAACACCAAUUGCGAAGGCAGCUCGCUGGGACGUUACUGACGCUGAGGCGCGAAAGCGUGGGGGAGCAAACAGG